AGUUGGGCACUCUGGAGAGACUGCCGUGGAUAACACGGAGGAAGGUGGGGAUGACGUCAAAUCAUCAUGCCCCUUAUGUCUUGGGCUACACACGUGCUACAAUGGCUGGUAACAAAGUGAAGCGAGACGGCGACGUUAAGCAAAUCACAAAAACCCAGUCCCAGUUCGGAUUGUAGUCUGCAACUCGACUACAUGAAGCUGGAAUCGCUAGUAAUCGCG
rnacentral:rRNA from 1 species